rnacentral:rRNA from 1 species
GACGUAGGGCGCGAGCGUUGUCCGGAUUUAUUGGGCGUAAAGAGCUCGUAGGCGGUCUGUCGCGUCGGCUGUGAAAACACGGGGCUCAACUCCGUGCCUGCAGUCGAUACGGGCAGACUAGAGUUCGGUAGGGGAGACUGGAAUUCCUGGUGUAGCGGUGAAAUGCGCAGAUAUCGGGAGGAACACCAAUGGCGAAGGCAGCUUGCUGGGACGGUACUGACGCUGAGACGCGAAAGCGUGGGGAGCAAACAGG